AACCCCAUGCUCAAAGCAGGACUAACACCAACUAAAUUAUCCCAGCCAGGGCUUUGUCAUGUCGGCUGUUAAAGACCUCUAAGGAUGGAUAUUGCACCAUCUCCCUAGCAUAUCACCCAACUUCAGGAGCA